UGUGGAGCGAGAGAGAACCAUGGAUCUCUUUCCGGAUAGGACUUGGCGCACUGCCCUGUAUUCAACACAACGGUUGAAUACUAACGUAUGAAGCGCAUUUCCCUUUACACACAGCGGUGGCGCGGGGUCAAUUUUUCUACCAGGGGGGCCAGGGGCCUAACCUAAUCCCCCCUCCCUUAGUUAAACUGUCGUCUCUGGUGAUGGUGUCGCGUUUUGAUGUCAGGUGUCGUUAAAUUACAUUCCGACUUGUCUACACCGACUUCGAGAUUCUUUGCCAUUUCCAAUCGGAAUGAUCAGUUUAGUUGAGAUUUACGGUGAAAAUUUAGCCACGGUUUGAUUUUGAAAAGUGAUGAGGUAUUUCCAUACCAUUCGACCAAGCUUAAUCGAAAGUGAACAAUUCUAAGGCAUCAUGCCGAAUAUCUUUUGCCUUUCUCCACGUGAUCGCUGCCGUGUCAUGACGAUGCUUCUUUGAGAGGGUCUCUACUAUAUUGCAAGACAAAAAUUUGCUGAUAACAGGAAAUUGAGUUGAUUAUAAUGUACUGUAUUUUUAAGAUAAAUCAAGUAGGUAAGUAUAUUGCUUACAUUUUAGUCUACGUAUAUGAGCCUAA